rnacentral:lncRNA from 1 species
AAAAAAAGAACUUUAAGUAAAAGGAUACAAAUUUUAGUCAACGACACUAGACACAAUAACAUGAAAAAGGUAAGAAUCUCUUUUGAUGUUCUGCUUUGUGUGAAUCAUGUAAAAUAUUUAUUUUAAAUAAUUUCACAAGAAUCUUUGAGAGAUGAAUGACAGUUAAAACUCGUAUUAUUAGCUGUGAGAAAUAAAAGAUUUAUUGGUAUAAAUGCAGAUACCAUGAUAAUAGAGCAAGGCGCGAUAGCAAUGGUCUUAAAAAAACAGAAUAAAAACAAGUAUAUGUAGCAAUUAAAAUUAAAACAAGUGUAUUUAGCAUUAUCUAACAUGGGCAUAUCAUAACGGAAAACACGUUUUCAUUUCAUUACAAUUUGCAAUAUAACUUUGUGUUUAGGCCAUUUAAACAAUUCACUCUUGAUUUAGAACAUUAUCAAGAUGUGAUCAAUAAUAAACACAUAUAUUUAUCCUCUUAACUAUGAGUCAAUGUUUUGUAUGCACGUCGUCACAACUCUCCUAGACAGGCAUGUGCCGAAAAAAUACACUGCCGCUUAUUCACUCAAGGUCUAAGUAUACUCACAGAAUAAAGGAUAAUGUUUGUAUCGUGCAGACAUAUUGGCACUCUUUCUAAAUGUUCAAACCUCCUGCAUAAUACAUCUUAUAUUAAUGAAUCAUUUCUUAAUUUGUGUAAAGACGUCGAACAUUCGAAGGCCAUUUAGGUUAAAUGUCAUCAUUUAGCCAUUUGUUAAAUUUGAUAAUUAUCUACACAACAUAGACGUCAAAACAAACAUCUGCAAUGUAUAUUUUUUUGUGGUUUCAGACAUGUUGAAAUGAUGAACUGAAAUUCAUAUGAAACUCUAAGAACUGACGAUGUUGUUGAAAUUAAAAUGUAUCAGACCAUUUCACUUGACAUAUCUUCUAACAAACAACGUAUCUUGAAAAUAAACUUCACGACC